UACGGAGGGGGCCAGCGUUGUUCGGAAUCAUUGGGCGUAAAGGGCGCGUAGGCGGCCGAGUAAGUCUGACGUGAAAUCCCUUGGCUUAACCAAGGAAUUGCGUCUUAAACUGCUUGGCUUGAGUCCGGGAGAGGGUAGUGGAAUUCCCAGUGUAGCGGUGAAAUGCGUAGAUAUUGGGAGGAACACCGGUGGCGAAGGCGGCUACCUGGACCGGUACUGACGCUGGGACGCGAAAGCGUGGGGAGCAAACAGG
rnacentral:rRNA from 1 species